rnacentral:rRNA from 1 species
GUCCACGCCGUAAACGAUGUCGACUAGCCGUUGGAGACCUUAGAGUCUUUAGUGGCGUAGCUAACGCACUAAGUCGACCGCCUGGGGAGUACGGCCGCAAGGUUAAAACUCAAAUGAAUUGACGGGGGCCCGCACAAGCGGUGGAGCAUGUGGUUUAAUUCGAUGCAACGCGAAGAACCUUACCGCCCCUUGACAUCCUGGGAACUCGCUAGAGAUAGCUUGGUGCCGAAAGGAGCCCAGAGACAGGUGCUGCAUGGCUGUCGU